UCCUUAUUCUCUUUUUGUUGAACAUAAAGUGUGGCUUAUUUAAAAGACAUGGCAUCGCAUCAUAAAAAGGGACUCAUAUCCUUUCCACAUUCCCCGUGGUGGAGAGUUCUUUCUUAAUCAUACAUUAAUUAUUAUAAUGUCUCUUAGUCCAGUUUCUUUUUGUUGAAGUUGACACAAACAUAAUAAAUAAAGGGAUUAUUAUUAUUUUGUAUUAACAGGACUCCAGUGCAAGACUGACAGGAUUCAAGCAAUGUAAGCAAGAUUUCUCUGGGUCUUUUAUCUCCGUUGGUCUCAUUACUCCCACUCCAGAAUUACCCCCAGUAAUUCUACGUAGAAUUUCCCCUCAUCAGCUAUGAAAUAGUCAUAUCUUAUCACAAAAUGAUCACCAUCUAAAAUGAAAAGAAGAAAAGAGAGUCAUUUAAAUUUUUCCUUCAAAAAUUCAAUUUUGUAUCAAUUCAAUGACUAAUCUAUUAAGUAAUCUUUAUUACUAGACAUUCCCUCAAUACUAAGAAUAUAAAACAAAACAGAAUAUCUGCUCUCUAGGAUACCUGUUAUAAUAGUCCUCUGCACCUCAAAAUCUUGAAUAAAUUAUCUCAAUGUUUUUCUGAA